rnacentral:lncRNA from 1 species
UUUUGGCAACCAGGAAGGGACCUCCAAAGCGACCUGCCGCUGACUCCCAUCCCUCCGGAUCCGGCAGGGUGUCCGCUGUGUUCCUGAACCAGCAAGGCACCCAUUGCCGCUUCUGAUUGGGCUAAAGGCUUGCCAUUGUUCCUGCAUGGCUAAGUGCCCAGGUUCGUCCUAAUCGAGCUGAACACUAGUCACUGGGUUCCACGGUUCUUUUCCAUGACCCAUGGCUUCUAAUAGAGCUAUAACACUCACCGCACGGCCCAAGAUUCCAUUCCUUGGAAUCCGUGAGGCCAAGAACCCCAGGUCAGAGAACACGAGGCUAGCCACCAUCUUGGAAGCGGCCCACCACCAUCUUGGAAGUGGCUCGCCACCAUCUGAGGAGCUCUGUGAGCAAGGAUCCCCGGGAGAAAGCAUUUAUGGUGAGGAGAAAAACAGCUGGUAUCACACUCUACCCAAGUCCCAAAAGCAGGUUCACAUAACUCUUGUCUUCAUUAUCUGAUAUCCGUAUGAAGAAUGUAAGAUAGAAAAAAACAUUAGCAUUUGAGAGGAUUGAAAGAGAAGCAUUCUCAGCAGAGCCAAGAUUCACUUAGAACAAAAGG